rnacentral:rRNA from 1 species
CACGUAGGCGGCCCUAUAAGUCAGAUGUGAAAGCCCGGGGCUUAACCCCGGAAGUGCAUUUGAAACUAUGGGGCUUGAGUAUGGGAGAGGGAAGUGGAAUUCCUGGUGUAGAGGUGAAAUUCGUAGAUAUCAGGAGGAACACCGGUGGCGAAGGCGACUUCCUGGACCAAUACUGACGCUGAGGUGCGAAGGCGUGGGGAGCAAACA